rnacentral:rRNA from 1 species
AUGGCAGGUGUCGGCGAGGAAGACCGUUCCACGGGUUCAACGGAGGAGGUGGCGGCAGUCACCACGCCGGAGCGUCCUCUUCCUCCGGUGGAGAACAUGAAGGGGUCCUCCAUGGCGGUGCUCGCACGUCUUGAUGGAAAAGAGGAUCUGGCUGUGUCAGGGACCAUGCCGGUGCGUCCUGGUUCUGGUCAGAAGAACAAGAAGGGUUCUUCUUCCAAGGCCCGUAAGGUGGUGCUGGCGGAUGUGUCCAUUACCUCCAAUCGUCUUCCUGAGAAGCGGUGUUCCAAGAAGGGGUCCUCCAUGGACAAGGAGGCGAAGAUCAAGCCCGCGCGUCUUGAUAGAAAAGAGGGCACUUGUGGUGACCCCAGGUGCACGGUGGGUCCUCAUCCUCCGGUGAAGAACAUGAUGUCUUUGGAGAGGAUCGAAAGCAUCCUGUCCUGGGAGAAGCCCGCCCCCCUCGACUCAGACUCAGAGGACGAGGACGAUGAUUUCUUCAAAGAGCUGAACGACAGGAUGGCCGACUUCGAACAAUAUAUCUGGAAGGAGAUCAAGGAGAAGGGCUAUGUGGAGGUCGCCGACAACUACGAGGAACAGGCGGCAGAUAUCAGACUUGAGGGGUACAAGCGGGCAUACCGUACGGUGUUUGGCACCGAUCCGCCGCCUGAGCUACUCAAGGACGCUUGA